AACGAACGCUGGCGGCAUGCCUAACACAUGCAAGUCGAACGACACCUUCGGGUCUAGUGGCUCACGGGUGCGUACCGCGUGGGAACCUGCCCUUAGGUUCGGAAUCACUCCCCGAAAGGGGUGCUAUACCGGCUAAUUUCUUCGGACCAAAGAUUUAUCGCCUUUGGAUGGGCCCGCGUUGGAUUAGCUCGUUGGUAGGGUAAAAGCCUACCAAGGCGACGAUCCAUAGCUGGUCUGAGAGGAUGAGCAGCCACACUGGGACUGAGACACGGCCCAGAAUCCUAGGGGAGGCAGCAGUGGGGAAUAUUGGAAAAUGGGGGAAAGCCUGAUCGAGCAAGGCCGCGUGAGUGAUGAAGGCCUUAGGGUAGUAAAGCUCUUUUACCCGGGAGGAUAAUGACAGUACCGGGAGAAUAAGCACCGGCUAACUACGUG
rnacentral:rRNA from 1 species